CCUACGGGAGGCAGCAGUAAGGAAUAUUGCUCAAUGGCCGAAAGGCUGAAGCAGCAACGCCGCGUGGAGGAUGAAAUACUUUUGUAUGUAAACUCCUGUAAGAGGGGAAAAAUAUACAGCUAUGCUGUGUUGAUUGUACCCUCAGAGUAAGCACCGGCUAACUACGUGCCAGCAGCCGCGGUAAUACGUAGGGUGCUAGAGUUGUCCGGAUUUACUGGGUGUAAAGGGUGCUCAGGUGGGUUUGUAAGUCAGAGGUGAAAUCCCAAAGCUUAACUUUGGAGCUGCCUUUGAUACUGCAAGUCUGGAGUUUGAGAGAGGGCAAUGGAAUAUCUGGUGUAGCAGUGAAAUGCGUAGAUAUCAGAUAGAACACCAAUGGCGAAGGCAGUUGCCUGGCUCAAAACUGACGCUAAAGCACGAAAGUGUGGGGAGCAAACAGGAUUAGAUACCCUGGUAGUCCACACCCUAAACGAUGAAUACUAGAUGUUGGUCCUUUUUAGGAUCAGUAUCCAAGCUAACGCAUUAAGUAUUCCACCUGGGAAGUACAAUCGCAAGGUUGAAACUCAAAUGAAUUGACGG
rnacentral:rRNA from 1 species